CCAUGCACAAAAAGAGGAAACAUCAAUCAUCGUGCUUGCACGAAUGAGGGAUGUUUCCUCUUUUUGUAUAGGGCGCAGCCCGUGAGCGAGAUGAAGCGCAAAGCGCGGAAUCGAGCUGCAAGG
rnacentral:sRNA from 1 species